AUUGAACGCUGGCGGCAGGCCUAACAAAUGCAAGUCGAGCGAGCGGCGGACGGGUUAGUAAUGUAUGGGGACUUCCCGAUAGAGGGGGAUAACUACUGGAAACGGUGGCUAAUACCGCAUACUAUCGGAUAACCCAUAUGGGAUUAGCUAGUAGGUGGGGUAAAGGCUCACCUAGGCGACGAUCUCUAGCUGAUCUGAGAGAAUGAUCAGCCACACUGGGAUUGAGACACGGCCCGAACUCUUGCGGAGGCAGCAGGGGGAAAUUUUGCGCAAGGGGGGCAACCGUGACGCAGCCAUGCCGGGUGAAUGAAGAAGGCCUCAGGGUUGAAAAGUUCUUUCGGUAGGAAGACGUUAACUACAGAAGAAGCCCCGGCAAACUCCGUGCAAGCAGCCGCGGUAAUG
rnacentral:rRNA from 1 species